UAUGAGAUGACAUGCUUCUUUAUAUCCCCAUAUGGAUUAGGCUGCUAUGGAAUGUAAGGAAGUGUGUGGUUUCAGG
rnacentral:pre_miRNA from 7 species